rnacentral:rRNA from 1 species
GACGAACGCUGGCGGCGUGCCUAAUACAUGCAAGUAGGACGCAGUUGUGAACGGGUGAGUAACGCCUAGGUAACUGCCUAUUAGAGGGGUAUAACCAUUGGAUACGAUAGCUAAUACUGCAUACCAGUAGAUGGAUCUUCGGUGUAUUACCUAGUAGGUUGGGUAAUGGCCUACCUAGGCUACGAUACAUAGCCGAGCUGGGAGGGUGUACCAGCAAACAGGGAGUGGGGCACGGCUCAGAAGCCUAAGGGAAGCAGGAGGAGGGAAUCUGCGGCAAAGGGGGGAAACCUUAACGAGCAACGCCGCGGGAGGGGAGAAGGGUUUCGGAUCGUAAAGCUCUGUUGUUAAGGGAGCGGUACUUAACCAGAAAGGGACGGCUAACUACGUGCCAGCAGCCGCGGUAAUUC